CCUGGGGUGGGGUUUGUUGUUGGCACAAAUUAUCAGGGUAUGUGACUUCAUCAACUGAAUAGAUUUGAAAUUUUAGUUACGCAAGUCAAACAUCUAUAACAGCAUCUUAUUAUGGAAGCGCAAAUCAGUCCGUGGUGCAUAACCAUUGGCUUUUUAAAGAGUUUGACAGAAGUCACACAAUCCUGGUCUUCAUUGUAAAUCCAUUAUCUAAAUCAUUUAACAUCAUGACAAAUGAUAUAGAAAUUAUAAUGAGCGUACUUUUUUUUUGUUUUGUUUUUGUUUGUUUGUUUGUUUCAUGCUUUUCCUCUUCUUCUUUUUUUCUGUUUUCGAAAUUGACCUCUCGUUGGUGUUUGUCGCUUCAUUUUGCAUCUCAACUAACAAUCUUGAUUCCUACUGCCGGUAAUACAUCAGCAGAAAAAAAUAUUCCAUAAUGUCAUCGUUAUCGUCCAUAAUGCCGUUAAAAAUAACCGAAGUUACUCAUUAUUGACACUAGAGGGCGCCAAACAGCCAAAUAUGGUGCCGCGUAUAUGCCGCUCCCUAUAACGUUGAAUUCGAGGCUUGCUUACCGGCUUUUACCACGAGAGAGCUGGUUGUGUUGGUUCCUGCUGUUGCGAUUGAGGAUGGCCUGUCUUCCAUGUCUGCUCGCCGCGUUUCUCUUUCUACUCGUGGGCUGCCGUCUAACAAGUGCACUCUUUUCAGACUGCUCUGUGGAACAUAACACCACCUGUGACAGCAUGGGCAAAGCUACUUUGGACACUAGUGCAUUUUAUGAGAAGUGUAUACACUGUAGUGACUGUGAUUGGAGUUUGAGGAGGAAGGACGACAGCUUUAUUGAAGAAAUAAAACCAUCUCUACAUGUAGCCAUCAACUGCAGCUUUCCUGAAAUUCUCCUGAAGGUGCACUGUUUUAGCCCAAAGUAUGAGUUUCGGGCUUGCUUCAAGUUUUUCAAUCAAACCAAGGGUGAAACCGGUACAGAAAGCAUUAAGGAAGCAUCUAACCAUCGAAUUCGGAACUUUGUGAUCAUACCUGUGGUACUGUUUCUGGUGGUACUAGUUGUUUUAGCCAUAAUGCGUAAACGGAAAAGAAUGAAUAAUGAUAUUUUAAGCUAAUCAGGCAUGACCAUUGCCAAGGAGUAUCCAGUUCUUAAACUACUAACACCAUCUCCAAAUGUGUCUGUCCAAUGCUCCUUGCCUGAAAUUCGCUUGAAGGUGCACUGUACCAGCCCAAAGAUUGCUCUGAGCUGCACAACAUCACCUGUGAUCGCAUGGGUAAUGCCAUGUUGAACACUAGUGAGAUUUACCUGAUGAGGAACGACUGCAUGUGGAGUUUUAGAGACACGGAGGAUAAAGUUCUUGAACUACUAACACCAUCUCCAAAUGUGUCUGUCCAAUGUACCUUGCAUGAAAUUCGCUUGAAGGUGCACUGUAUCACCCCAAAGUAUGAGUAUUGGGCUUGCUACAAUCUUACUAAUCAAACUAACAGUCAAACCGGUGCGCCAAGUCCUCAUGGAACAUCCAAGCAUAGAGUGCGUGAGUUGGUGAUCAUAGCUGUGGCUCUGUUUCUGAUGGCGCUGGUUGGUCUUGUCAUUGUUUCAAAAAAGGACAAAAAGGCUACUGUUAAAACAUACCUGGCCACUGCCCAGGGCAAUAAUUAAGAAGUUCCAGUCAACUGGAAAUGUUAUGAAUCAACCUGGAAGAGGACGCAUGUCUGUAUUGCCUCAAUGCACUGUGAAGAGGAUGGUCUGAAUGGCCAAAAAAUCUCCAAGGAUCACUGGAGAAUAUAUAUAUAUAUAUAUAUUCUCAAUACAAGCAAACAGCUGUAAUAGGGCUUGCUCAUAGUUCUGUGGUAGCACACUGUAGAAUGAACACAUACUAUCACACCACAGUCUGUUAUAAGGAUAUGAAGGAAUCUUUUUUUAUUGGAACUCCUUCAUUUCCUGUUCUGAUAUGAAUAUGAAAGAUUAAAAGAAUAAUAAUAAUAAUAAUAAUAAUAAUAAUAAUAAUAAUAAAUGUAAAAAAAUUUUUUAAAAAACAGCACUUGAGUUGUUUUUGUUGAGCUGUUACUAGCACACAGGUUGAGCCUCUCUAAACUCGAAGUAGCAGAUGACUCACUCACAGUCUGAGGAUGUUACACUCCUGUUUCACGCUGCCUGCAAGCCUUCAUUGUGUGUUUACAUAGCCUUGAAAAUAGGGUCAAAUCUGAUUAUGUCCUUUUGGGUAUACAGUACAGAGACAUUGUGAAAAAGUGUGAUGCUCUUGAAAGUUUAUUUUAGAAAGGGGGGAAAAAUGGGCAACAAGGUUGCCAGCUGUAUGUCAAAAUCUGGCAGAGCAACAGUGCACUUGAGGAACUGACACAAGCAAUAGAGGAAGUCAUGUGUUUUAAUAGAGGAAAAUUGUGUGCUUUAAUGGGUGUCUGAGAUAAAGAGCUUUGAGUGGGUGGAAGAGUAACCAGUGAAGGAAAUAAAUGAAUUAACUUGCAUUUACACUCACUGUGUCAGUACCUUAGCACAGGGGUUCCCAAACUUUUCCAGGGCAAGGCCCCCCAAAUGGCAUUAACAUUUCACUGAGGCCCCCCUUUUGCAAGAUGUCUUUAAAACACAGUGAAAAUACAGACUUCUGAAUAUAUCCCACUUUUUUAUUAAUAAUUACAUCUUACAUCUUUACAUUACAUUUGGAAUUGAUUGUGUGUGUGGUUGUCUGAGAUUGAGAAACAGAAAACAUACUAGUGGGAGGGAUGGGCACACCAAAUUAUUGAGGCCCCCCGGGUUCCCCCUGGCAGCCCCCAAGGGGACCGUGGCCUCCAC
ensembl:lncRNA